AGUGUCACCGGGUCGACCGAGCGGGUGACCAGGAGGUAGUCGCGCAUCGCCAUCGCGUGGCGGCCCUC
rnacentral:sRNA from 1 species